CGAAAAACUUUUACGAAUUCAAAAACCAGAGCCUUUAAGAAAUGUUGGUGUAAAUGAUUCACAUCAUAUGAAAGGUACAUUUUGUUCGCAUAUUCACUUAAUUAACACAGAAAAUCGAAUACAAUUAAAAAUCUUUUCGAGAUUUACAAUUCUAUCAGAAUUUUGCGAUUGCGUAAGGUGUAGCCGUAUAACAGAAAAGUGCCGCUAGCUCAUGUUUUCCCCAGUGCGGAGUUUCCAACGCGCCACACAGCUCGCAACAUAAAAAUCGAUAAUUAUCGACGAUAAUUUGCACAUUUGCACUCACCCAACCUGGAAUGCCAGGAGGAUAGCAGGUUUGCUUGACUAUAUAAUCAUGAGAGAUCACCACUGAAGGUUAUGGUUGAAGGAUUUGAUGACUGCACAGAAAGCGGACGUAUGUAAAGACGUGUCGGGUCUCCUAAACCAGGGAAUAACACGGAACGUGUAGGGUCACCUAAACCUAAGGAGCUCUUAUGUCUAAGACAUAAGACGGGACGAGCAAACAAUACGUGAGCAUGUGUUGUAUUUGGCUGUCAGACUAACUAAGGAUUCGCGACACAAAUUUAGCGACAGCGGCACAACAACGACAAUUCGGGCUCGCAAUUCUGACUCCGCAUUGACAAACAAUGAUUAUUUGUCAGGACUAGCAGUAGUUGCUGACGGUUGUUAGAAGCAACAACGACGGUCGAAGCCUUAUGGAAUGGCCAGGAAUUCGCCGGGGGGGCAACACACAAAUCUUUAUAAUGUUAUUUGACUUUUAAUUAUUAGUUUAACAUAAUUUUAAACAUAAUAUUAGAAAAGCACACAAGUACCAUCUGUUUGUACAUAUCCUUUGGAUGCGCACCGAAGAAGACUUACUGUUUUAGUUAUAAAGUAAGAUUGAGUGAAUACUGAGUGGUUUCUAUUUUACCAAAUAGUCGGUUUAGAAUUGGUCGGCUUGUCCACUUUGACGAUCCAGGUUCAUGGGCAGCAACCGCUGGCAUUGUUCAUCAACGUCAUCAUGUCAAGGAAACCGUUCCGGAUC
rnacentral:sRNA from 1 species